rnacentral:rRNA from 1 species
UGGGAAUUUUGGACGAUGGGCGCAAGCCUGAUCCAGCAAUGCCGCGUGCAGGAUGAAGGCCUUCGGGUUGUAAACUGCUUUUGUACGGAACGAAAAGCCCUGGGUUAAUACCCUGGGGUCAUGACGGUACCGUAAGAAUAAGCACCGGCUAACUACGUGCCAGCAGCCGCGGUAAUACGUAGGGUGCGAGCGUUAAUCGGAAUUACUGGGCGUAAAGCGUGCGCAGGCGGUUUGUAAGACAGAGGUGAAAUCCCCGGGCUCAACCUGGGAACUGCCUUUGUGACUGCAAGGCUAGAGUACGGCAGAGGGGGAUGGAAUUCCGCGUGUAGCAGUGAAAUGCGUAGAUAUGCGGAGGAACACCGAUGGCGAAGGCAAUCCCCUGGGCCUGUACUGACGCUCAUGCACGAAAGCGUGGGGAGCAAACAGGAUUAGAUACCCUGGUAGUCCACGCCCUAAAGCGAUGUCAACUGGUUGUUGGGUCUUAACUGACUCAGUAACGAAGCUAACGCGUGAACGUUGACCGCCUGGGG